AAGAAAAAGCAUGAAGAAGCCGCGAAGUGGAGGAGAAAAGGUGAAGGGAGAUGCAGCUCCUGGAGAAAUUGUAAAAAGCCUUGCAAAGAGUUGUCGGAAGGACCGUUAUUCCUGCUGGGCAGGAGCGAGAGGAGAGACCCUGAAACACACGCCACCUAUCUUUGUGGGGAGGGAUAAUUGAAGAGCACCAAACAUAUGGAUCAGGGGUGAGAUGGGCUCUCUUCCUGGCUCUGCUCUCCCUUGGAAGUAGCUGGAUGGGCAGAGGGACAGUGCGGACGAGUAACGCGUGGGACUGAACUUCAGGGAGGUUACAAGUUUUUCACCUUUUUCAAGUAUUAAAAUUAAAAUAAAAUUACAUAUAGAAAAAAAAAAAGCAAAAAAAAAAAAAAAGAAGCCCAGACUCCACCUUUGCACUGAAGGGAUUGGUUAUGCAAAUAUGGAAGGGGUUUCCUGGCAAAUACAGCUUUCUACUGUAUGGUUAAUUAAAUCAUCACUCAAAAGCCUUCCAAUGUGACGCUUCUGUCGUAAUCCAAUCAGGUUACGUAGGUCCUAAACAAGAAAGAUAUUUUCCACAUCUGGAAGUCAGCAAUUUAGCAAGUACUGCACAUUAUUAACCAAUUCAGAGCCCGCUUCCCAGGGGGAUUUCUUUUUUUUUUUUUUUUUUUUUUUUUUGAAGUUUAAGUGUUCUUAACCAACGCUCUGCUGUUUUGUUAAUCAAAAAGCUGGUUUACACUGCACGUAAUUGAGAACUAAUACCGAAGUAAGUAAAGGCAGCCCGAGCUGGGGAUGCUGAGCGAAGGCGUUUAUCUGCAAAGGGGGCUGAUAGGGCUGAGCCCCGAUCCGCUCAUGCCCAACUCCCAGCACAACCCGCAGCCGUUUCUGCCUCUAAAAGAGCUCGAAAGAAUCUCAACGCAAAGAUAAACUUCACAUCUCGCCUACCCGUACGGUCCUUUUCCGAAGGUAAACGUGGAGCUGCCCAAAGGGCUGUGUUAAAGAGCUGCGAAACAAUUUCCCUCCUUUGACAAGAGUUAAAUCUAUUACAGCACUUUUCUUCCUUUUUUUUUUUUUUCCCUCCCCCUCCUGAAGAAAACUGAAACAAAUGGUACGCUGAUCCGACACUAUACUUUUACUUACAUUAAGCUAAGAUAAACUGCUCUUGAACUGCGCGUUGAACGUGUGCCUAAAGCAAGAACUGGAAUGCGAGCAGUAGGCACGAACGAUUGCACUCCAAAACGCUCCUGACCAGAGAACACCUUUCUGACCAUUAAGCAUCGCAAAGGAAGGAAGGGGGA